AAAAGUCACGACGCCGUCUUACAACAAGCAAAUGUGACGACUAUGUGCGCGGGCCUCAUGUUCUGUAAUUCGCUCGACACUGAUUUUGACAAGCCAUGUACCGUACAUAAAGUGAAUGUAAAAUGAUCAUUGCAACAUUGCAAUAAAUUAUUUUGAGCCAACUUAUUUUACAUGCUGAGCUAGUUCAGUUGAUCACGUGAUGGAAAUAACGCCUCUAGUGCAACAUGGAUUUUCCAUUAUCAUCUAGGUUUGAAAUAGAAAAUGGCAUCGAAGCUCAUCAUUGCUGCGUUUCUUCUGGUCGUUAUUGUGGGCGCAACCAUUGCCGACACCAAAGGCAAUAUGGAACGAGACAGCGAGACACUUCCCCUUGAUAUUGACGUUGAUGAGGAGGUACAAGGUAACAUGGUAGAUCUUGAAUCUGAGCAGCCUGGUCUGUGGGGACGGGGAGUGUAAAAGGAGGCUCCAAUGACACAUGCUGAACGUGCCUCUCGAGGACAGAGUCAGAGAGACAUGGAACAUCAAAAUAAGCUGGCCGACGUGAUAAGGGGCCACUAUCUCCUCUGGUUCGAUCAAUUUGGGAAAAGGUCUAAAUAGUCUGGACCACACCUCUUCAACAUUAAAUAUGUAGUGAUAAUUCAAGUAAAUGAUUUAUUAUUUUAGUAAGCUUAUUAUUAAAAGUCAUUACAAAUAAUUAUUAUCACGUGUAAUACUCGAAACAUUAAAUGAAGCACCUCACCAAAUCACCAGAGUCUGUGUUUCUAACAUUCAACGUUAAAUUUGUUGUGUCUUUGUAAUGAUUAUUUUGAAACGGGUACAGCCUUAUUCCUUGUGGUUUUAAUCAGGUGUCCUCGUCCUAUACCCCCUCACCAUUUUUCCUUCUCUGGCCCCUUCUUUCAUUUCAUAUUUGUUCACUCUCUUUGUAUUUCA